GUCUUAUCAAGAGAGGCGGAGGGAAUGGCCCUGUGAAGCCCGGCAACCUUCAAACAAUCGUUUGAAAAGGUGCUAAGUCCUGCAAAGUUUUUAGCUUUGCGAGAUAAGAG
rnacentral:ncRNA from 1 species